rnacentral:lncRNA from 1 species
CGCACAUUUUAUGGGUAAAUUAUGACGAUUUACUCACGAUGCAGAAAACAGUGUUGGUGGGUUCGAUUCCUGUCCGAGGGCGAGUUGGCCCUCAACCAGCAUUUAGGCCUGGAACAUCUCGACCGCUCCUUUUUUUUGUUCGGCCACAAGCCGUGCGCUCUCGGUGUAGCGCCAAAUGGAUAUCGACGAGCCAGAAAAAACUUGUGGCGGUGCGUCUCAUCGACGGACAUGAGCCGGUCCAUGCGCGGUCCUUUUCCCGUCUCUUCCUUUUUUUUUCUGUGCUUUUUUUCUGUGCCUUGUAAUCUUGUUGUGCCAAUAGACCUGGGCCUGGCCUACUCGUACUUUGCCGCUCGGCGCGCCCAAAAGUCGCGGCACCAACGGUCGGCCUUGUUGGUGCCCUUUUGGUCGAGGUCGUCGUACCACACGCCGUCGACGUCGCCGGCGUCCUUGUAGCCACCCAACGCGUAAUUGCGCUCGAACCAGUUGGCAAAGAGGCUGUGCGCGACCGAGCGCCUCGGGAAGACCCCGUCGCCGCGGCGCUGCAUCAAUUCGUGCCUGAUGGCGUCCGGCGGCGGGCGCGCUGGGAGCAGGCUGGGCGCAUGAUUGCCGCGAUCAUCGUAGCGGGCCGCCACCGCGGCAUACUUGCUCACUUGAUAAAAGGGCAGGCCCGCCGUGGCCAUCAUGGUCAGCGGACCGCCGCCGAGCAUCGCGAUGGCGCUAAACACGCGCGCGUGCAUGCGGUACAAGUGCCACCCGCGCACCUGCUCACAACCGAAUGGCGCGUUCGGUGCGUCGACGUCGACGUCGCUGCCGGGCGCUGCGGAGCGGAAGGCAAAGGCGUCGAUCGCCAUGAUCUGGGCGGCGGGUCGGCGCGCGAGCGCCGUCAUCAUGGCGCCGUGCGCAUAGUCUGCGCACCGCGUGAUGGCGUCCAAGAGGUUUUUGACGACGUCCGUCACUCCGACGACGGCAUCGCCGCGCCAGCACCAUUGGCGGCGGCGGUCGCACAUGAGCGCAUCCGGGGCGCGGUCGUCGCCGUCGUUGUCGUCGUCGCCGUGUAUGGCAUCGCACGGCACGCCGCCGACCGUGGGCCACGCCGCGAACCGGUCGCGGUACCGAGUCAUGCACUCGCACAGAUCUCCAUCGAUGGCCGCGGUGUACUCGUAGUGUCUGGCGCGCUCGCUGUCGGUCGGCUCCUCUGGCCAUUCGAUCUCGUCGGCACUGUCGUCGCUGCUGUCGCCAGUGCUGUCGUCGGCGUUGGCAUCGCAGGCCUUUGGCGUGCGCGUCCUUUGACGCGCCGUGCCCCGCUUGCCGGCCGGCGACUGAGCGUUGCGAGAGCCUCUGUGUGAAACCGUGCCUCGCCUACCUCUUUGUCGCUUCUUCUCUGGGGGACCUUCCCCCUGGCCUUUGGGAUGCGACGUCUCCAUCCCCGCCUGGUCGUGCGCACCCAGGCGAUUGUGCGUCGGGUCGACCUUUUGCUCGUGCGCUUCGUGUGCGUCCUCGUCGCGCCAGUAGGCGUCGCCUUGCAUCACGUCGUCUAUGACCCUGUCGAUGACGUCAUCGACAGCACUAGCGACAGUGACGCCAGUGGCGGGAGAGAUGCUGGUCACACAAGCGGCAUCGUCGUGCCUGGGCAUCUUGCGCGCUCUGUAUCCGCACGCCUCAGAAGCCGCGCGACCCGACGUCGGCUCCAGUGCUUCUUCUGGCGCGCGAUCGUCGUCUUGCUUGCGCGCACGCUUGCCGGCCGUCUGUGCCGUCGCGACGGGUCGCUCUCCGUCGCUCGCUUCCUCGGCGUUGCGCGCAGCGUCGACGUGAUGGCGCAUCAUGUGUUUUUUGCCGUCGGACCGCAUGGUCGCGCACGCACGCCUCCAGAUCGACCAGAGAGUUGCUCGCAGUGCGUGCUGUUCCGGCGCCUUGAACCAUGCUACGAGGGCCUCCACUGGGCAGUCCAUCCAGUCGAGCCCGUCGAUGUCGGGCGCGUGCUUGCUCACCAGUGCCGUCAGGCAUCGGUAGGUGGACGGACACGCCUCUGCCGCCAGCGCUCUGUCGCCGUGUGUAGCGCCCAUGGCACUCGUCGGCGCAAGCAAAACCUCACACAUGAGCGUGUAGACCAACACCUCACGGAUCGACCGGCGUACGGUGCUACGGAGAAGACCGACGGCAUUGUCGCACACCUCGUCAAAGGAGGCGUAGCGCCAUCCGGCUACCGCUGGCGGACCCUCCGCCGCCGUCGCCUUGUCGGCGUCGCCGUUGCGGGACACGGCGACAAAAUAGCAGCGGAGACGGUGCAGCGCGCGGUACAAACCUAGAUCGCCCUUGGCUUUGGCGGCCUUGAAUUUCAUUGCCUCUCUCAGCGCCUCGUCCAUGGCGACGUGCGUCGGCGUCGCCGCCAGGUACGCCUCUGUCGCUGGCGCGGCGUCGACGACGUUGGCGCCCGCGGCGCAUGGCUGUGCCUCUCCUUCGUCCCUCUCGUCCUGCAUGCCGUCGGCGUCGUCACGGGUACUGCGCUCUCUGUGUGCGUGGUGUGUGCGUAUGGCUCUGUGGUCUGCCCGCACACGAGGGUUCCGCCCAGCCCACUAACUGACACGGCAGAGUCGGCCGCGUACGCGCGCGGCCUCUGUCUUGCGCAGCGUGGGUCGCCUACACGUCCGUGCGUUUCGCCGCCGCCGCCGCCGCCGCCC